ensembl:lncRNA
GAAGUGGUGGGAGAAAGAGUGAAACAGACUGCCAGAGGAAGAGGAAGAGAGAGGGAAGUGGUGGGAGAAAGAGUGAAACACAGACUGCCAGAGGAAGAGGAAGAGAGAGGGAAGUGGUGGGAGAAAGAGUGAAACACAGACUGCCAGAGGAAGAGGAAGAGAGAGGGAAGUGGUGGGAGAAAGAGUGAAACACAGACUGCCAGAGGAAGAGGAAGAGAGAGGGAAGUGGUGAAACACAGACUGCCAGAGGAAGAGAGUGAAAAAGACUGCCAGAGGAAGAGGAAGAGAAACAGACUGCCAGAGGAAGAGAGAAACAGACUGCCAGAGGAAGAGAGUGAAACAGACUGCCAGAGGAAGAGAGUGAAACAGACUGCCAGAGGAAGAGAGAGAAACAGACUGCCAGAGGAAGAGAGUGAAACAGACUGCCAGAGGAAGAGAGUGAAACAGACUGCCAGAGGAAGAGU